UGUCGCUGCCCUCCUUGGGCGUUUCCUCCCUAGACUUGGGCCGCACAUCAGUGCGGCCUUUUUUCUUUCUUGGG
rnacentral:sRNA from 1 species